GAUGAACGCUGGCGGCGUGCCUAAUACAUGCAAGUCGAACGAAACUUCUUUAUCACCGAGUGCUUGCACUCACCGAUAAAGAGUUGAGUGGCGAACGGGUGAGUAACACGUGGGCAACCUGCCCAAAAGAGGGGGAUAACACUUGGAAACAGGUGCUAAUACCGCAUAACCAUAGUUACCGCAUGGUAACUAUGUAAAAGGUGGCUAUACUACCGCUUUUGGAUGGGCCCGCGGCGCAUUAGCUAGUUGGUAGGGUAAAGGCUUACCAAGGCAAUGAUGCGUAGCCGAAUUGAGAGGUUGAUCGGCCACAUUGGGACUGAGACACGGCCCAAACUCCUACGGGAGGCAGCAGUAGGGAAUCUUCCACAAUGGGCGAAAGCCUGAUGGAGCAACGCCGCGUGGGUGAAGAAGGUCUUCGGAUCGUAAAACCCUGUUGUUGGAGAAGAAAGUGCGUGAGAGUAACUGUUCACGUUUCGACGGUAUCUAACCAGAAAGCCACGGCUAACUACGUG
rnacentral:rRNA from 1 species